rnacentral:misc_RNA from 1 species
GAUGAAGAACGCAGCAAAAUGCGAUAAGUAAUGUGAAUUGCAGAAUUCAGUGAAUCAUCGAAUCUUUGAACGCAGAUUGCGCCCGCUGGUAUUCCGGCGGGCAUGCCUGUUCGAGCGUCAUUUCAACCCUCAAGCCCCCGGGUUUGGUGUUGGGGAUCGGCUCUGCCUUCUGGCGGUGCCGCCCCCGAAAUACAUUGGCGGUCUCGCUGCAGCCUCCAUUGCGUAGUAGCUAACACCUCGCAACUGGAACGCGGCGCGGCCAUGCCGUAAAACCCCAACUUCUGAAUGUUGACCUCGGAUCAGGUAGGAAUACCCGCUGAACUUAAGCAUAUCAAUAAGCGGAGGA